rnacentral:rRNA from 1 species
UACGUAGGUGGCGAGCGUUGUCCGGAUUUACUGGGCGUAAAGGGAGCGUAGGCGGAUUUUUAAGUGAGAUGUGAAAUACUCGGGCUCAACUUGAGUGCUGCAUUUCAAACUGGAAGUCUAGAGUGCAGGAGAGGAGAAUGGAAUUCCUAGUGUAGCGGUGAAAUGCGUAGAUAUAUGGAGGAACACCGGUGGCGAAAGCGGCUCUCUGGCCUGUAACUGACACUGAGGCUCGAAAGCGUGGGGAGCAAACAGG